rnacentral:rRNA from 1 species
UCGAACGGUAACAGGAARCAGCUUGCUGYUUYGCUGACGAGUGGCGGACGGGUGAGUAAUGUCUGGGAAACUGCCYGAUGGAGGGGGAUAACUACUGGAAACGGUAGCUAAUACCGCAUAACGUCGCAAGACCAAAGAGGGGGACCUUMGGGCCUCUUGCCAUCGGAUGUGCCCAGAUGGGAUUAGCUAGUAGGUGGGGUAACGGCUCACCUAGGCGACGAUCCCUAGCUGGUCUGAGAGGAUGACCAGCCACACUGGAACUGAGACACGGUCCAGACUCCUACGGGAGGCAGCAGUGGGGAAUAUUGCACAAUGGGCGCAAGCCUGAUGCAGCCAUGCCGCGUGUAUGAAGAAGGCCUUCGGGUUGUAAAGUACUUUCAGCGGGGAGGAAGGGAGUAAAGUUAAUACCUUUGCUCAUUGACGUUACCCGCAGAAGAAGCACCGGCUAACUCCGUGCCAGCAGCCGCGGUAAUACGGAGGGUGCAAGCGUUAAUCGGAAUUACUGGGCGUAAAGCGCACGCAGGCGGUUUGUUAAGUCAGAUGUGAAAUCCCCGGGCUCAACCUGGGAACUGCAUCUGAUACUGGCAAGCUUGAGUCUCGUAGAGGGGGGUAGAAUUCCAGGUGUAGCGGUGAAAUGCGUAGAGAUCUGGAGGAAUACCGGUGG